UCCCGCUCGGCUCUUCCAGCUCAGCCGCUUCCUCCCAUUCGCCCAUCUCAGCGGGAAGGAAAGGGCGGCACCCAGAGGCGGCUGAGCGGGAAGAGCUGAGCGGGU